rnacentral:lncRNA from 1 species
CAUAUUCCAUGAAUGAAACAUUUUCAUGAUGCCAGCGUCAUUGGUGUCAUAGUCCAACCUAACAGUGCUAAUGAUGUUGGCGUUAUCCCCCUCGCACCCCUGCAGACCGCACAAGACCAGAAGCUAAGUCACUAACAUGAAGGAGGUCGGCACCAAUGUCAAUGGCGCUAAGGGCCUAUCUGUAAAAAAAAUUACAUUGGCGGUAAGAACCUAUAAGUAAAAAAAUUAAAAAUGAUCUAAUUUUAAUUAAAAAUAUCUACAAAUAUAUCCUCAAUACCAAUGACACUAACACUAAGGGUGUGUUUGGUUGGGCUUUUCAACAAACUUUUGCUUUUGCAAAAGCCAAAAAUCAACCAAAGGGUCCAAAAGUCACUGCUGCUUUUACCCAAAGCCAGCUUUUGGUGUAGUACAAAUCAAAAGCAGCCCUCCCCUUGCUUUCAGCUGCUUUUGAGAGAAAAAAUUACCCACCUUUGCCAUUACACAAAAACGAUUCGCUUGUUUUUUUUUCUUUCUCCCAUCGGCAUAGCUCCUCCUCCUCCUCACUUCGCCGUCGCCGUCACUCCUCCUCGCCCUGCCGCCGCCGCUCCUCCUCGACGAGACGUCGCCGCCGCCGCCGCCGCUACUCUCGUCCUGCGCUGGCCCAGAUCCGCCGACGAGGAGGUGUAGGAGGAGGAGGAAGAGGAGUACGAAGGGGAGGAGGAAAUGAAGGACGAGGUGCCGGUGUCCCCGCCGCCGCCUGAGGCCGACUACACCACCGCCCGUGUCAACCUCCCCUCUGCCGCCGCCGAGGACUUCUCCGCCACCGCUGAUGUGACCAUCAAGCAUAUGCAUGCAUCCAAGCAUGAGAAAUAUAAAACAUGACCAAAGAAUUCAUCGAGUGAAUGGAGGAUCUACAAGAUAUCAAAAUUCAAUGAGUUUUGGAAUCCAGUUCGGCCUUCGGAGACAGCACUGACUUCAAACGGACCUAGCGCCUUCAUGCCAACUCCGAUUUGGGUGAUCUUAGACUUCGUGGAAAGCUUAUCUCGUUACCUUUCAAACGCAUCCGGUCUCAUGUCCAAAUUCAUCUUGAGUCAACGGGAAUCGCCAAAACAAGACAGUGUUAUUACCGAAACCGAACUUGGGCCUUGGGCCUUGUAAUAGACUAGGCCCAUCUCGGAAGUGUCUCCCUCCACCUCCACGAAUUAGCACUUAACCCUAGCUUUAUUUUCCUCUAUAAAUAGCUUUGUACAUCCUCAAAAACAUUUGGGUUUUGUUUAGUUGAAUUUUACCAAGUGCCAUUCACCUUGUCUCUAGUCCUCGUUCGAUUAGUCGGCGACUAUUGAUUCAGAGCCCCCAAUAGUUGGUGUGUUGAUUUGCCGGGUCGAUUAGAUCUACCACUUCAAUCGCAACUAUUUCUUUGUGCUAAUUACCUAUUCGCAAUAUUUAGAUUGCAUCUUAUCUUGUUCUUGCAAUGUUCUCUCGUUUGCAUUGCAGGGAUCAUCACCCGCGCGUCAUGGUUGGUACGACAUCGUUUGUGGUGUAGCGAUUGCAUGGCGUCCUGGACUUGUUCUGGUUGGUAGCCACGUCGUAAACGUCGCACUCAAUCAAAGCGAGAGUUAUCCCCUCACCAGAAGAUCGGGCCACAAGAGAGAGCGUCAUCAGUUGGUAUCAGAUGGUAUCAGAGUAUCGGUUGCCUGGUGAGGAUUUUAGUUUUAUAUAUUUAUUUUCCCUACCCAUUAUCUACAAAUUGCCACACCACUUUUUCCUUCACCAAACAUUAGUUUUGAGCCUUGCAAUUGUUAUUCAAUUUUGCUUUAUUGAGUUUUGGUCCACUGUUGUGUCAAGUGCUGGUUUUAGUUCUAGUUUCGUCUUGGUUUGAGUUUUGCAUCUUGGUUGUGCAUUGCCUGUGCGUUCGAGCAGUGGCGGAACCAGGAUCUUCGGACGACUAGGGCCCAAAUUAAAGGCUAAAACUUGCCAUGACAAAUGUGCAACAACCACAUUUGGUUCUAGCACAAUACGAUCUUGCUUAUUGUUACUAGCCAUGGUUUCUGCUGAAUUAGGCAUUGGGAUGGAGUCAUUGGUUUCUUCCGUUUCCUGAGUUGCCGGAGUGGAUUCAUUUGAGGACUGGACUUGAUAGAAUGAUUUUAUUGUCCUACUUCUCUUCAUCUAUGAAUUCAAACCAAAUCUAAUUGAGUAAUGUGAUGUACUAAAGCAGUAAAGCUAUAGGUUUGAGAUUUCAGAUUCGAGAACUGAGAAAGGAAGAAGAAAGAGAACAAAAAAAAAACCACUGACCUUCCACUCCCGCACGACCGCAAGCCACCGCCGCACGCCGUUCGCCGCCACCACACGCCCGCACGCCGCCGCCACCACAAGCCCGCACGUCGCCACCCUCCGUUCGCCGCCGCCACCACAAGCCCGCACGCCGCCGCCGCCGCCGCACGACCCGUACGCCUGCAGCCUGCAGGCCGCCACCUCGCGC